AUUGAACGCUGGCGGCAGGCUUAACACAUGCAAGUCGAGCGGGGUGAUGGUGCUUGCACUAUCACUUAGCGGCGGACGGGUGAGUAAUGCUUAGGAAUCUGCCUAUUAGUGGGGGACAACAUCUCGAAAGGGAUGCUAAUACCGCAUACGUCCUACGGGAGAAAGCAGGGGAUCACUUGUGACCUUGCGCUAAUAGAUGAGCCUAAGUCGGAUUAGCUAGUUGGUGGGGUAAAGGCCUACCAAGGCGACGAUCUGUAGCGGGUCUGAGAGGAUGAUCCGCCACACUGGGACUGAGACACGGCCCAGACUCCUACGGGAGGCAGCAGUGGGGAAUAUUGGACAAUGGGGGGAACCCUGAUCCAGCCAUGCCGCGUGUGUGAAGGAGGCCUUAUGGUUGUAAAGCACUUUAAGCGAGGAGGAGGCUCUUUCGGUUUAUACCCAAGAUGAAUGGACGUUACUCGCAGAAUAAGCACCGGCUAACUCUGUGCCAGCCGCCGCCGUAA
rnacentral:rRNA from 1 species